rnacentral:rRNA from 1 species
GACGUAGGGCGCGAGCGUUGUCCGGAUUAUUGGGCGUAAAGAGCUCGUAGGCGGCUUGUCGCGUCGUUCGUGAAACCUGCAGCUCAACUGCAGGCUGCGGUCGAUACGGGCAGGCUAGAGUCGGUAGGGAGACUGGAAUUCCUGGUGUAGCGGUGAAUGCGCAGAUAUCAGGAGGAACACCGGUGGCGAAGGCAGUGUUCUGGCCAGUACUGACGCUGGAGGAGCGAAGCGUGGGAGCAAACAGG